ACUCCGCAAAUACAGCGUCCAUGAUCCCUGAGUGCCUAGGUGGGGCGGCUUAAAAACUCUCGCCUUGCGGCGAGGCCCCAACUUCUCGGACCUGAGCGGUUCUAUUGAACGCAGGUGGCGAUGCGGC